GAAGUGGGACCCACCCAUUUUUAACAAUGCGCCAAUCCGAAACACAGAGAAAUAUCUGGUGUUGAAUAUCAUCUCCUUCCCCAUAUAGUCGUAGCCAUGGCCAUGGCCAUAGCCGUUACCCUGAAGAAACAGCAGGCAGUAAGUACAUUAGAUAUAAUUCCACUUUAGUUGCUGGUGCAAAAUCAAAUCAAACAAGAAAGAAACAGAGUAUCAGUUUUUAUAAUCAAUUAUGACCUUCACAGGAGUUGUGGCCUUGGCUUCCCCACCCUUAAUCAUCCAUUCGGACUCUUCUGCAUUAUCAUCUACUAGGUUAUCCAAACCCACAUCUUUUUCCUGCAAUUCUUCAAUUCAAACAGUUUCCACUGCUACUUCUGAGCAACCCAAUGAUUGUAACGGCGAUACUACUACUACCAGUCAGAGAUUUAGCUACAGGAGAGCCUCACCAUCAGUGAGAUGGCCACACUUGAAACUCGCUGAAUAUUAUCCUCAAUCUCCUGAGACCCAGUUGACUCAUGUUGUUGAUGAGGUUGGAUUUUCAGCACAACCCUCUGAUUCUCAGAGUUCGGAUGAACCAAAAACAACCCAGAAUACGAACUUUGCAGAAGAAGAAGAAGAGAAGGAAUUAUCUUUGCAUGUGAGUGAUGAGACCCGACAAGUGUUGGGGAGGCCUAGCAAGACUAAGGCGAAGAAAAUGACGAAACUGGCUCUUAAGAGAGCGAAAGAUUGGCGGGAUAGGGUCAAGUAUUUGACUGAUAGGAUUUUGGGGUUGAAAUCUGGGGAGUUUGUGGCGGACGUUUUGGAUGAUAGGAAAGUUCAGAUGACGCCUACUGAUUUUUGCUUCGUGGUGAAAUGGGUUGGCCAGUCAAGCUGGCAACGAGCUUUGGAGGUUUAUGAAUGGCUGAAUUUGCGUCAUUGGUACUCGCCAAAUGCUAGAAUGCUUGCCACUAUCUUGUCGGUGCUCGGGAAAGCUAACCAAGACGCCUUAGCCGUGGAAAUAUUCACAAGGGCUGAGCCUGGAAUAGGUAAUACUGUCCAAGUUUACAAUGCUAUAAUGGGUGUUCAUGCUAGAAAUGGUCGGUUUGAUAAAGUCCAAGACUUGCUUGAUUUAAUGCGUGAAAGAGGGUGUGAGCCUGACCUAGUGAGCUUCAAUACUUUGAUAAAUGCCCGUUUGAAGUCGAGUGCAAUGGUUUCAAAUUUGGCUGUUGAACUUUUAAAUGAGGUGAGGAGGUCAGGUCUUAGACCUGAUAUUAUUACUUACAAUACUCUAAUCAGUGGGUGUUCGCGUGAAUCCAAUUUGGACGAAGCAGUGAAGGUUUACAGUGAUAUGGAAGCACAUGGUUGUCAACCUGAUCUUUGGACUUAUAAUGCCAUGAUUUCGGUAUACGGGAGAUGCGGGCUGUCCGGCAAAGCCGAUGGACUCUUUAAGGAAUUGGAAUCAAAGGGUUUUCUUCCUGAUGCAGUAACAUAUAAUUCUUUGUUAUAUGCUUUUGCUAGAGAAGGAAAUGUAGAAAGAGUGAGGGAGAUUUGUGAUGAUAUGGUGAAAACGGGGUUCGGUAAAGAUGAGAUGACGUACAAUACCAUUAUCCACAUGUAUGGGAAAAAGGGCCAGCAUGAUUUAGCAUUUCAACUUUAUAGGGACAUGAAAUCAUCAGGUCGGGUCCCAGAUGCUAUCACAUACACUGUGUUGAUUGAUUCACUUGGAAAAGCAAACAAAACUACAGAGGCUGCAAAUUUGAUGUCGGAGAUGCUGGACAGGGGUGUUAAACCGACUUUGCGAACUUAUAGUGCUUUGAUUUGUGGAUAUGCCAAGGCCGGGAAGCAAGUUGAGGCUGAGGAAACGUUUGAUUGCAUGGUUAGGUCAGGGAUUAGACCAGACCGUCUAGCAUAUUUUGUUAUGUUGGAUAUGUUUCUGAGGCUGAAUGAGAUGAAAAAGGCAAUGGCAUUGUAUCAGCAAAUGGUGAAUGAUAGUUUCAUGCCAGAUAAUACCCUUUUUGAGGUCAUGCUGCGAGUGCUUGGGAGGGAAAACAACUUGGAAGGUAUUGAAAAAGUGGUGAGGGAUAUGGACAUACAUUGUGGCAUGAACCCACAAGUUAUUUCUACAGUUCUUGUCAAGGGUGAAUGCUAUGACCAGGCUGCUAAAAUGUUGAGAUUGGCCAUAAGCAAUGGCUAUGAAUUGGAAAGGGACAAUCUUUUAUCUAUUCUUGGCUCAUAUAGUUCAUCUGGAAGGUACACAGAAGCACGUGAGUUGCUUGAAUUCUUGAGAGAACACACCUCUGGUUCCAAUCAACUUAUAAAUGAAGCACUGGUUGUCAUAAUGUGUAAGGCUCGCCAAUUUGAUGCUGCCUUGGAGGAAUAUGGUAAAACUAAGGAAUUCCUUUCUUUUGGCAGAAGUUCUACCACAUACGAGUCCCUGAUUCAAGGAUGUGAGGAGAAUGAAUGCUUGGAUGAAGCUUCUCAGAUUUUUUCUGACAUGAGAUUCUUUGGUGUUGAACCUUCUAAACAUCUUUACGUGACUAUGGCACUCAUAUAUUGUAAAAUGGGUUUCCCUGAGACAGCACACCAUUUACUUGACCUGGCAGAUAUGAAAGGCAUUCAGUUUGACAAUAUUUCUGUUUAUGUUGAUGUUGUUGAAGCAUAUGGGAAACUAAAGCUAUGGCAGAAAGCUGAAAGUUUGGUGGGAAGUCUUAGACAAAGAUACAUUAAAGUGGAUAGGAAAGUGUGGAAUGCUUUGAUGCAAGCUUAUGCUGCUAGCGGUUGCUAUGAGCGAGCCAGAGCUAUUUUUAAUACAAUGAUGAGAGAUGGUCCUUCGCCUACUGUAGAAUCUGUUAACAGUUUAUUGCAAGCUUUAAUAACUGAUGGAAGAUUGGAUGAACUUUAUGUAGUAAUCCAGGAGCUACAAGAUAUGGGUUUCAAAAUAAGCAAAAGUUCAAUCAUUUUGAUGCUUGAUGCAUUUGCUCGUGCUGGUAAUGUAUUUGAGGUGAAGAAAAUUUAUCAUGGAAUGAAGGCUACAGGUUAUUUUCCUACCAUGAAUCUUUACAGGAUUAUGAUCAGGUUGUUGUGCAGGGUAAAACGAGUUCAGGAUGUGGAAGCCAUGGUUGGUGAAAUGAAAGAGGCAGGAUUUAAGCCUGACCUUGCAAUAUGGAAUUCCAUGAUAAAGAUGUAUGCAUCUAUUGAGGAUUUCAGAAAGACAGUUCAAGUAUAUCAGAAAAUUCAAGAAGCCGGACUCGAACCAGAUGAGGAUACUUACAGUACAUUGAUUACAAUGUACUGCAGAAAUCAUACUCCAGAAGAAGGUUUGUCUCUGAUGCAUGAAAUGAGAAGAAAGGGCCUAGAACCUAAAUUGGACACCUACAAAAGCUUGAUUUCAGCAUUUGGUAAGCAGCAGCUGUUGGAUCAAGCGGAAGACCUGUUUGAAGAGUUGAGGUCUAAUGGAAGUAAAUUGGAUCGCUCAAUUUAUCAUACAAUGAUGAAAAUGUUCAGAAAUUCUGGAAACCAUUCCAAAGCUGAAAUGUUAUUGGGCGUGAUGAAAGAAGCAGGUAUAGAACCCAACUUUGCCACAAUGCAUUUGCUCAUGGUUUCAUAUGGCAGCUCUGGACAGCCUCAGGAAGCUGAAGAAGUGCUAAACAAUCUGAAAGUCACUGGUUUGCAGCUCAAUACAUUACCAUAUAGCUCUGUUAUUGAUGCUUAUCUCAAAAAUGGAGAUUAUAACAUUGGGAUCCAAAAGCUUAAAGAGAUGAAGCAAGGGGGCUUGGAGCCAGACCAUCGAAUAUGGACAUGUUUUGUACGAGCUGCAAGUUUGUCCCAGCACACAAGUGAAGCAAUUAUCCUCUUGAAUGCACUUCGUGAUGCUGGAUUUGAUCUUCCAAUAAGGCUUUUGACAGAAAAAUCCAAUGCGCUAAUUUCAGAGGUAGGCCUUUGUCUAGAGAAACUAGAACCUUUAGAAGAUAAUGCAGCGUUUAACUUUGUCAAUGCUUUGGAUGAUCUGUUGUGGGCAUUUGAACUAAGGGCCACUGCUUCAUGGGUUUUCCAACUGGCCAUCAAGAGAGGCAUCUACCGCCAUGAUGUAUUCAGGGUAGCUGAAAGGGACUGGGGUGCUGAUUUUAGGAAGUUGUCAGCUGGUUCAGCUCUUGUUGCUCUUACACUUUGGCUUGAUCACAUGCAGGAUGCAUCUUUGCAGGGUUAUCCGGAGUCUUCAAAAUCAGUUGUGCUAAUAACAGGGACAGCAGAGUACAACAAUGUUUCCCUUAAUAGCACAUUAAAGGCCUUUCUUUGGGAAAUGGGAUCUCCUUUUUUGCCCUGCAGUACCAGAAGUGGGCUCCUUAUAGCUAAGGCUCAUUCCCUAAGGAUGUGGUUAAAGGAUUCUCCAUUUUGCUUGGACCUUGAAUUAAAAGAUUCCCCAUCUCUACCUGAAUCUAACUCAAUGCAGCUCAUUGAUGGAUGUUUUAUAAGAACAGGUCUUGUUCCUGCAUUUAAGGACAUAACAGAGAAGCUUGGACUGGUGAGGCCCAAGAAAUUUGCAAGGUUGGCUUUGCUAUCAGAUGAAAAGAGAGAUAAAGUUAUUCAAGCUGAUAUUGAAGGGAGGAAAGAGAAAAUGGAAAAAAUGAAGAAAAAUGAUGGGUUUGGGAGGAUGAAGAAGAUGAAAAAGUUUAUGAAAAGAAAGUAUUUAAGGAGAUCCAUGUUGAGAUGAAAAGUCUAGAAAUUCAAAAGUUGCCAACUACUUUGGUAAAAGAAAACUGCUUUUCCAUUUCACUACCUCUACCACAAAUCUGAAAGAAGUUUUAAUCGCAGUGACAACCUGUUCUUCUAGGUGCUGCUUUUUCGAAGAACAUUGUUUAAAUAUAUACUUGGAGGUAAAGCUUCUGACUUGGAUGUUUUCUGCCAUUGAAACAGAAGAAUAUUGGUUAUUGGCUUUGUAUAUCAUCUUUUAUAUUGAUGCACAUAUUGAUGGUGUCAAUCAUAUAGCAUUUGCUCAUCCCAACAAGCAAAGGUGCAUUGUUACAUGUGGAGAUGAUAAGCUGAUUGUAUUGGCUUUAAUAUUUGGAAAAAUAGUCUUGAGAAGAUUUAGGUUCCUUACUCUAAAUUCAUGUACCAGAGGUCUGGGAUGCUGUAGCUGGGCAGAGACUAUGUAUAUUUGAAGGGCAUGAAGUGCCUGUAUAUUCUGUUUGUCCUAUAAAGAAAAUAUCCAGGUAUAUUUCCUGUUGAAGCUGGUAAACAAUUUCUUUUUUCAGUUGAAGAACGACAUCAGCUUCUUGCUAAACGAGAACUUUGAUUUGUUGACUUGUCUUUGGAGUGUAUUUCAUCUGUAUUAGAAAAGACAGCUUAUAACUUCAAAAUUCCAAUACGCUUCUUUACAUGCAAUUUAUUUUUUCAACUGCAAUUGAUGGGAAGAUUAAAGCUUGGCUGGAUGAUUGUAUGUGAUCAAGAGCGGACUAUGACGCUUCUGGGCCUAGGUGCACCAUAAUGGCAUAUACUGCAGAUGGAACUGGGCAAUAGUUUAUCGUGUGGAAGAAGAUAAAGGACUACAUUUUUGGUGACAUUUUUGUACUUUAUAUUUUCUCUGUGUAUCAAAUUCUCAUGAUUAUGCAUUAGAAUAUCUAAAUAAUCUAUUCUUGUGUUUGAGUUUCUUUUCUUGUUUAUGAUGAUAUAUAGCUUUUCUCUCAGCUCCUUUCAUUCCUUUUUGAUUACUCCCAUCUUGUGUCAUCUGUUUAUUUAAUUUUUAAGUUUUAGCCACUCUGAACUGUUUAUUUUGUUCUCACGUACACAGAUAUACAUGACAAAUGCAUAUGCUACUAUGCCUAUAACUAUCAAAAUUAGAAAAUUCAUAAAAUAUAUUUCUUCUGGCCAGGCUAUUCUCAUGUGGAGCAAGCAAGGAGGGUUAUUCCCGUCUAGUUGAAGAAGCAAUUAAACGUAAAUAUUGUGGUUUUAGAAAGCGCUCUUUAGGUGUUGUCCAGUUUUGCACGACAAGAAACCGGUUCUUAGCUGCUGGUGAUGAAUUUUAAAUUAAGUUCUGGGAUAUGGACUUUAUCAAUUUGUAGCCAAUGUCAACAGCUGGUAGGCUAGAAAUGUUAAUUUUUCCAAGAAAGUUCUAUAUCUUGAGUGCAGAUAUGUUUAUGGCAAUAUAUCUAUGAUUGUGAUUUGCUUUUUAAAUGCUGAGUAGCGGAAGUGACUGAGGCGAUGAAUUUAGAAAGUUAUCAGCUGGUGAACGCUCUUAUUGUUUCUUAUACUUCGGCUUCAUGCAGCUCAUUGAUGGAUGCUUUAUGAGAACUGGUCUUGUUCCCGCAUUUGAGGACAGAAAAGAGAUGCUUAAGACUAGUGAGGCUCGAGAAAUUUGCAACGUUGCCUUUGCUUUCAGAUGGAAAAAAAAAGAGAUGCAGUUAUUGGCUGAUGUUGAAAGAAGCAAAGAGAAAUUGGAGGACCAUUUCACUACCGUUGCUACCCUGUACAAUAGAAAUUAUUUUCUUUUUAUUUUAUUUAUUGUAUUCCUGUUGUCAACAUUUGAUUUAUUGUAUUCAACCAUCAUGAACAUAUGAAAAAACUAAUAAUAAUAAUAAUAAUAAUAUUUAUGACUUAAAAUUUUCAAAA